rnacentral:rRNA from 1 species
AAACCAGCACCUCAAGUGGUCAGGAUGAUUAUUGGGCCUAAAGCAUCCGUAGCCGGCUCUGUAAGUUUUCGGUUAAAUCUGUACGCUUAACGUACAGGCUGCCGGGAAUACUGCAGAGCUAGGGAGUGGGAGAGGUAGACGGUACUCGGGAGGAAGUGGUAAAAUGCUUUGAUCUCUCGAUGACCACCUGUGGCGAAGGCGGUCUACCAGAACAUGUCCGACGGUGAGGGAUGAAAGUUGGGGGAGCAAACCGGAUUAGAAACCCGAGUAGUCC